CUCAAUCAGGUUGAUUAAAACCUACUGCCCUUUGGGCUCCUCCCCGCGUUCGACGGUAAAAAAACGGACGCGUGUCGAUCAGCGCUCGGUAUGGCAUUUUUCCAAAAAGGCCCUUCCACUUUCUUAAAAUCAUCCAGCAGUCUAACUUAUCAGAUUGGAACAGUAAAAACUUUAUAUUUUUUGCGUUUAGAUCCUUAUUGUAAAUCUUAUUUCAACAUGAAGAAGAGAAAAAUCGGAAUUCUUGUCAUUUUACAAAAAACCGCCCGCGUAUCGUUUUUCGGAAAACCCCCUCCCCAAUCCAAACCCUCACCCACUUCCAUCCCCCCCCCUCUCUCUCUCUUCUUCUUCCCUCUCCUCUCCCUGCCGCCGCCGCCGCCACUCUCCCUGCCCUCGUGCCUCUGCCUCCCCUCGCUAUCUAGCUCUCCGCCUGCCUACACCGCUGCCGCAUCGUCUCCCACGCCGCCUCGCCCAGCUCAGCCCCCCAGCCUUCGCCUCCCCGGCCCUCGCCUGCCCCUCCCACCCCGGCCCCUACCUCUGCCGGCACGCGGCUGUAGCCCGGCUGCAGGGCAUCCCGCGCUAGAUCUGGCGGGGGCGUGCUCGGCGCGGCGGCCGGCGACCCCCCGGUGCGGAGGCCCUGGUCGGCCUCGGGCACGGCACCAGAGGUCCCCGGAGCGGAGGCCCUAGCCGGGCUCGGGCACGGCAUCGGAGAUCUCGCGCGGGCGGGGGCAGGAGCUGCGAUGGCACGGCGACCGACUGCGGGAGUGGCGUGCGCCUGGAGGGAGCGGCGGCGGCUGGAGUCGCAGAGCUGCAGUCCCUCCCUUCGCUCUCAGAUCCGGCGAGCUCCUCCUCCUCCGCUCCCGCCUCCGCGCGGAGUCAGGGAUGGGAUUCCUCUACAUGAGCCGCGGCAAGGAUUGGAUACUGCUCGCAUCUCACAAGUAAGGGCAACUCCAAUCAGUAGCCAUGCUUCGUGUCUCCUCUCUCUGAGCCAGCCAUGAUUGGUUGAGGAGGAGAAGGAUGCGGGCUGCGCCCGAUGCUUGUUGGACUCGACGCAAGCGGCGGCGUGGCUCGCAUGCCUGCAUGGGCACAUGGCGGCGUUCGUUUCUUACUGCUGCUUCGCGCGCGGAGAAUCCAAGCACUGAAGGCAGAAGAAUCCGCUGAACUGAUCCACUGCAACGCCUGCUUCACCGAUGCUUUCAUGUCCUAUUUGCUCACCUCCAAUCUGAUUCAAGUAAUGAAACUAGACCCGCACUCAGUAAGAUUUUGACUAUGCUGGUUUAAUCAGAUGGCCAUUGAUUCAUGUGUUACUUCUACAGAACAUAGUUUUUUUAGCAGUAGUGAUUUUGUGAAGUCCUGCAUUAUGUGACAUAUAUAGUUCAAUGGGAAUAACUUGGAAACCAUUUUUUAUGUAAACACAUUUCUGAUAUUUUAACUUAACAGGUAUAUUGCACUGACUGGCUUUUUUCAUGCUCCAUUUUGUUUGCAUUUGCAUCUGGUUAAAUAUAGUAAUUCCAUUUUGAUUAAAUCAAAAUGAGUUGUGAUGUCUUCUGUUCAAGUAAGUGUUCAUAAAUAUGUUUGGUCUGACCACGGAGAACACAGAACAGAAGGCAUACAAUUAGGUAGCCAUUGAUUGUCCUAACCAGCAUGCACGUGCAUUAUAUCUUGCAAAAUAUAUUUGAGAUGCUUGCCUGACUUUUAGUUUGUUCAUUGUGGCCUCAUCUGUUCAUGUGUUUUGGUAUCUAUUUUGUCAUGUAACCUAGGACAGCCUCCAUUUGGAAUAUAAAACUUCAUAUUUUCCUUUUGUUGCAUUUUUGUGUCUUUUAAUUUAUUGUGACUGCAAUCUGUAUUCAAUGCCAUGUUGGGUUCCUACAUUUGUAUUCUUCCAUUUGCUAUCUCAUGCCUUAUUUAGGAGCUUCUCAUGAUUAUGGAUCUCUUUUAUUUAUGAUAAAUAAUGUGGAUCAUUCAUAAGAUUUCUGCCUCCAUUGUUAGGUAGUUAGAUUUUCAUUCCACAAUGGUUACAUUGGACACCUCACUAGCUUCCUUUGAAAGAAGAAGAGAAUUAUAUAUAGCCUGUGACUUGGCUAAUGUUUGUAAAAUGAAUAAAUGACUACAAUUAGCGAAGAAGGAAAACCAGUUGCUGUUUGAUAGUACGUCAGUAGCAAACAUAAAUAUAAAAUAUCAUCUAUCUGUUGUAAAACUGUUAUGCAUAACUCUUGCCAGUGCAUCAGUAUGACUACCUCUCUUUUUUUGGCAUUUGCAUUAAAAUCUUGGAAGUCUGGAAACGUGGUUCCGGCUGCAAAUUAGUAAUUUAGUAGCCUGGUUAACUAGGCUGCUGGGUUCCAGAAAAUACUGCGUAUUAUCAAAUCAUGGUAGCCAUAGUUUUCCUUUCUUUUCUUACAUCUGAACUAUUUCAAAAAUGUCUCACCAAACAGAAUAUCCUUCAGCUACACAUGUGCUAAUUCCUUCUUCCAUCAGUAGGAUAGCUAUGGAAGCAAUUGCACAGACACAAGAACGACAAGGUAAUGUGUUCUAGCACUACUUGUUUUAGAUCAACUGAACCUCUUGCAUCCCUAUGUCGAAAGUUGUCCUAUGUGCAGAAGGAUCCAUUGGUAGGAGCAAAAAGAAAAGAGUAAACAUCAGUAUACACAACUAAACUGCUGCUUUGAUGGCUCCACAUUAACCUCUUGAACUCUUGGUAAUAAAAAAAGCAUCUGCAUCAUGCAUGUUUCUAUAUCAUUCAUGGCCUGUCUUGGGCUCCCCUGCAGGGCUGCAUCAUGCUUGCUUGCUUGAAAAAUGCUUUAAGUUACUCCAUUUCUAUUGUUUAACGGCAUAAACCUGAUGCUGUUGUUUUCCACUCACUGCCAUUCAUGUUGCUAACUACUGAUUAGAGAAUGUUUAAUUUGGUGCAGCCCCACAGCUAGAAUACCUGGUGGUCAGAUACUCUGAUGAUCUCAAGUUAAAAGGCCCUGGGAUUAUAUAAGAAGAUAGUUAUGUGAAGGUUUUUAAGGUGUCCUAAAAGCUUAAUCAAGACUGCGGGGCAUUGACUGUCUCUUACGGUUAUACUACGAAUAUUACGCAUUCAUGUAGCACUUGCUUAUUGUCACGAUUGACCAUUAUAUGCAUUGUCAAGAAAUUAAUGUAUUUUUAUUGGCUUCUUUUUAA